GGUAGGACCGUAAAAACAUAAAAAUUCAGACACAUUUUCGCUUUUUUUCAUUCUCUAGUUGUGCAUCUGAGAAUAAGAUUCUUUUUCAAUCAUUUUUGGAGCUGAUAUUUAACUAUACCUAUACUAAUACUCCUCAGAUCGAAUUAAUCUUUCAUAUAUAUAUAUAUAUAUAUAAAUGUGAGAGUGUGUGUGUGUGUGUGUGUGUAUUGCCCUUCAUUUGUUAUAUAUAUAUAUAUAUAUAAGUAUAUUUUUUAUGCGAAGGAAGGUGUAUAUAAAUAUAUGUAUGCAUGAUUCAUCACAAUUUUUUUUGGGUAAAAAAUGUAUGUAUUGUAUACAUGAUUGUAUGCAGGAAGCGUCUCUGUUGAUAUAGAGAUCAUCAGAAAAUGUGAAAAAUUAAGUUUGGGGGGGGAAGAGGAUCCAUACUUGUUUAGCACAAACAAUUUCCUUGGGAGGCAGAUAUGGGAGUAUGAUGCUGAUGCAGGAAGCCCAGAAGAGAGAGAGGAGGUCGAAAAGGCUCGCCAACAUUUCUACCAAAACCGAUUCAACCUCAAUGCCUGUAGCGACCUUCUCUUGCGCUUCCAGCUUCUAAGAGAAAAGAAAUUCAAACAAAGCAUUCCUCGAGAGAAGGUUGAAGAUGGCGAUUAGAAAAUUAGUAUAAAACUGCUGAUGCAACAAUGAGAAGAGCAAUCAACUUCUGGUCUGCCUUGCAAAGUCCACAAGGCCAUUGGCCUGUUCUGAAUGCUGGUGUUAUGUUCUACGUCCCUCUCUCUGGACACUUCAUACCGUAUUCAAUGAACAUCAUCGAAGGGCAAUGCUGUGGUAUAUGUACUGCCAUCAGCACUAAAGGAGUAAGUGAUGGACCAAGCAGAAAAUUGAAGCACAAAAUUUGAGAUCGUACAGUUGCAAGUGACUGCUGAGAAAAUUAAAAAAAUAAAGAUUUGAAGCUCUCACACCAACACACACACACACACACAUAUAAAGAAAGACACACACACACACACACACACACACACACAUAUAAAGAAAGAGAGAGAGGGGGAGAUAAAGAGAUAGAGAAGCAUUGGUGGUGGUUUGUCUUCCAUUAAUGUAAGUUGCUGUUUUGAACAAAAUAGAAAAUGUUAUGCAAGUUGAUGAUGCUGCAUUAAUGCAUUAAUAUUGAAUACGACACGAUUUGAAGGUACAGAGUCACUCCCAGAAUGAAGCCAUUAUGGGAAUAAGUGAUAUGCAAUGCAAAUGAUCUAAGCAUUCGAAAAUAAAUGACUGACAUUAAGAAAUGGAGUUUUUAAAAAAUUUGCAAUGGGUUGUUUUGUUGCAGUGGUAACUGUAGUAUUUUUACACUCAAGUCCAUUGAAUUUUUACAUGCUAAAUUACCAUUGAGUUCUUCAGGAGGAAGUAUGCUUAUCAGGCUUAUAACAAAGAACUAAGUAUAUAAGCUAAGUGGUGAUACAUUUUUCUUUACUUUUGUCAUGUUUAUAGAUGUA